AAGACUAUAGACCUGCGGAGUACCUGCGGAAGGAUCAUUACAGAGUUUACAACUCCCAAACCCACUGUGAACCUUACAGCGUCGUUGCCUCGGCGGACCGCCCCCGGCGCGGCCCCCCUCGGGGGGGCGCCCGGGACCACGGCGCCCGCCGGAGGACCCAAACUCUUGUAUUUGCAGGAUGCAUUGCUCUGAGUGAAAACAAGCAAAUGAAUCAAAACUUUUAACAAUGGAUCUCUAGAU
rnacentral:misc_RNA from 1 species